rnacentral:rRNA from 1 species
GGGAACCUCACCCGGCCCGGACACCGCGAGGAUUGACAGACUGAGAGCUCUUUCUCGAUUCGGUGGGUGGUGGUGCAUGGCCGUUCUUAGUUGGUGGAGCGAUCUGUCUGGUUAAUUCCGAUAACGAACGAGACCCCAACCUGCUAACUAGCCCUCGGGUCCUGCUUCUGUUGGGCCCGACGGAAUGAUUCGCUUCUUAGAGGGACUCGCGGCGCCUAGCCGCACGAAGGGGCGCAAUAA